CCCUUAGAUGUUCUGGGCCGCACGCGCGCUACACUGAUGCAUUCAACGAGUUUCUUCCUGGUCCGAGAGGAAUGGGUAACCUUUUGAAAGUGCAUCGUGAUAGGGAUAGACUAUUGCAAUUAUUGGUCUUCAACGAGGAAUUCCUAGUAGACGUAGUUCAUCAGACUGCAUCGAUUACGUCCCUGCCCUUUGUACACACCGCCCGUCGCUCCUACCGAUUGAAUGCUCAGGUGAGCCAUUCGGACCUUCAUCAUGCCGGUUUCCGGUUUUGAUGAGGAAAAGUCUUGCGAACCUUAUCAUUUAGAGGAAGGAGAAGUCGUAACA
rnacentral:rRNA from 1 species